CUCCGGUUGAUCCUGCCGGACCCGACUGCUAUCAGAGUGGGACUAAGCCAUGCGAGUCAACAUAGCAAUAUGUGGCAUACGGCUCAGUAACACGUAGUCAACAUGCCCAGGGGACGUGGAUAACCUCGGGAAACUGAGGAUAAACCGCGAUAAGUCACUACUUCUGGAAUGGGUAAUGACUCAAAUCUACAUGGCCCCUGGAUUGGACUGCGGCCGAUCAGGCUGUUGGUGAGGUAAUGGCCCACCAAACCUGUAACCGGUACGGGCUCUAAGAGGAGGAGCCCGGAGAUGGGCACUGAGACAAGGGCCCAGGCCCUAUGGGGCGCAGCAGGCGCGAAACCUCUGCAAUAGGCGAAAGCCUGACAGGGUUACUCUGAGUGAUUUCCGUUAAGGAGAUCUUUUGGCACCUCUAAAAAUGGUGCAGAAUAAGGGGUGGGCAAGUCUGGUGUCAGCCGCCGCGGUAAUACCAGCACCCCGAGUGGUCGGGACGUUUAUUGGGCCUAAAGCAUCCGUAGCCGGUUCUACAAGUCUUCCGUUAAAUCCACCUGCUUAACAGAUGGGCUGCGGAAGAUACUAUAGAGCUAGGAGGCGGGAGAGGCAAGCGGUACUCGAUGGGUAGGGGUAAAAUCCGUUGAUCCAUUGAAGACCACCAGUGGCGAAGGCGGCUUGCCAGAACGCGCUCGACGGUGAGGGAUGAAAGCUGGGGGAGCAAACCGGAUUAGAUACCCGGGUAGUCCCAGCUGUAAACGAUGCAGACUCGGUGAUGAGUUGGCUUAUUGCUAACUCAGUGCCGCAGGGAAGCCGUUAAGUUUGCCGCCUGGGGAGUACGGUCGCAAGACUGAAACUUAAAGGAAUUGGCGGGGGAGCA
rnacentral:rRNA from 1 species